GAUGAACGCUGGCGAGAUGCCUUACACAUGCAAGUCAUACGGGAAUUUUUAAUUCAAGUGGCGGACGGGUGAGUAACACGUAAGAAUUUGCCUUUAGGAGGGGGACAACAACUGGAAACGGUUGCUAAUACCCCAUAUGCUUUCGAGUGAAAUGGAUUUUUCCGCCUAAAGAGAAGCUUGCGGCUGAUUAGCUUGUUGGUGAGGUAAUGGCUCACCAAGGCGACGAUCAGUAUCUGGUUUGAGAGGAUGAUCAGACACACUGGAACUGAGACACGGUCCAGACUCCUACGGGAGGCAGCAGUGGGGAAUUUUCCGCAAUGGGCGAAAGCCUGACGGAGCAAUACCGCGUGAGGGAAGAAUGCCUAUGGGUUGUAAACCUCUUUUUUCAGGGAGGAAUAAAAUGACGUGUACCUGAAGAAUAAGCAUCGGCUAACUCCGUG
rnacentral:rRNA from 1 species